rnacentral:rRNA from 1 species
UACGUAGGGUGCGAGCGUUAAUCGGAAUUACUGGGCGUAAAGUGUGCGCAGGCGGCCGAGCAAGUCGAGUGUGAAAGCCCCGAGCUUAACUUGGGAACUGCGCUCGAAACUACUUGGCUAGAGUGUGGCAGAGGGAGGUGGAAUUCCACGUGUAGCGGUGAAAUGCGUAGAGAUGUGGAGGAACACCGAUGGCGAAGGCAGCCUCCUGGGCCAACACUGACGCUCAGGCACGAAAGCGUGGGGAGCAAACAGG